rnacentral:rRNA from 1 species
GUCGAUUCGAUUUACCUUCGGGUAUUGAGGAUGGCGGACGGGUGAGUAACGCGUAAGGAACUUGCCUCUUGGUCUGGGACAACUGUUGGAAACGACAGCUAAUACCGGAUAUUAUGAGAUUCUCGCAUGGGAAACUUAUGAAAGCUAUAUGCGCCAAGAGAGAGCCUUGCGUUCCAUUAGCUAGUUGGUGGGGUAACGGCCCACCAAGGCGACGAUGGAUAGCCGGCCUGAGAGGGUGAACGGCCACAAGGGGACUGAGACACGGCCCUUACUCCUACGGGAGGCAGCAGUGGGGAAUAUUGGACAAUGGGCCACAAGCCUGAUCCAGCAAUUCUGUGUGCACGAUGAAGGUCUUCGGAUUGUAAAGUGCUUUCAGUUGGGAAGAAGAAAGUGACGGUACCAACAGAAGAAGCGACGGCUAAAUACGUGCCAGCAGCCGCGGUAAUACGUAUGUCGCAAGCGUUAUCCGGAUUUAUUGGGCGUAAAGCGCGUCUAGGCGGAAAAAUAAGUCUGAUGUUAAAAUGCGGGGCUCAACUCCGUAUUGCGUUGGAACUGUUUUUCUAGAGUACUGGAGAGGUGGGCGGAACUACAAGUGUAGAGGUGAAAUUCGUAGAUAUUUGUAGGAAUGCCGAUGGAGAAGUCAGCUCACUGGACAGAUACUGACGCUAAAGCGCGAA